CCUGCAAUGGCCGAGUGGUUAAGGCGUUGGAGUUGAAAUCCAAUGGUAUCUUCCCGCAUAGGUUCAAACCCUGCUUGCAGCG